rnacentral:rRNA from 1 species
GAUGAACGCUGGCGGCGUGCCUAAUACAUGCAAGUCGAGCGAACGGACGAGAAGCUUGCUUCUCUGAUGUUAGCGGCGGACGGGUGAGUAACACGUGGAUAACCUACCUAUAAGACUGGGAUAACUUCGGGAAACCGGAGCUAAUACCGGAUAAUAUUUUGAACCGCAUGGUUCAAAAGUGAAAGACGGUCUUGCUGUCACUUAGAGAUGGAUCCGCGCUGCAUUAGCUAGUUGGUAAGGUAACGGCUUACCAAGGCAACGAUGCAUAGCCGACCUGAGAGGGUGAUCAGUCACACUGGAACUGAGACACGGUCCAGACUCCUACGGGAGGCAGCAGUAGGGAAUCUUCCGCAAUGGGCGAAAGCCUGACGGAGCAACGCCGCGUGAGUGAUGAAGGUCUUCGGAUCGUAAAACUCUGUUAUUAGGGAAGAACAUAUGUGUAAGUAACUGUGCACAUCUUGACGGUACCUAAUCAGAAAGCCACGGCUAACUACGUG